UACGUAGGGGGCUAGCGUUGUCCGGAAUCAUUGGGCGUAAAGCGCGUGUAGGCGGUCCGGUAAGUCCGCUGUGAAAGUCGGGGGGCUCAACCCUCGGAUGCCGGUGGAUACUGUCGGACUAGAGUACGGAAGAGGCGAGUGGAAUUCCUGGUGUAGCGGUGAAAUGCGCAGAUAUCAGGAGGAACACCAAUGGCGAAGGCAGGUCUCUGGGCAUUAACUGACGCUGAGGAGCGAAAGCAUGGGGAGCGAACAGGA
rnacentral:rRNA from 1 species